rnacentral:lncRNA from 1 species
AGGUGUCCGACAAGGAACAAUUUUAAUAGGAUGUACAACUUGUAUAGCACAAGUGCAAGGUACAACUAGAUGAAGCACAGACAGAUUCUUUUAUACACGGAUUUAGCUCACUUUUCUUCAUUUCUUCAAAGUAUGGACGAUUUUUGGGGAGCUUCAAGAGGGGAUUUUCAUCAUCAAUGUGAAGGUAAGUUAUCCCCACCUAUUUUGAGUUAAGUACAUCAAUUAUGUAUGGAUUUGAGCAUGAAAAUUGUAGAAAAAUUGAGGAUUUAGGCCUAGGGAUUUGAAAAUAAGAUUUGGUGAUUUGAGGGGUCAAAUGAACUCCGAUUUUGGUAAAUUUUGUAUUUACGGACUCGUGGCGAGACGAGGAAUCUGGUGAUGUGACUUUCGUAAUUUUUCGAGAAGUAGGCCCAGGGCUCAGGUUUUGCAAAUUUCGUGAUUUUCGAUAUUUUUCGAGUCUUUUCGAUUGGGUUAUAUUCCCUUAGCCUAUUGUAAUAUAUUCCUUGUGGUUUUGGCAAGAUUCGAUGCGCGAGGAGGUCGAUUCGAAAGGAAAGGGCAUCGCGGAGUAGACUUUUGGCAAUCUUGAGGUGAGUAAUAGAUGUAAAUGUUGUUCUGAGGGUUUGAAACCCCGGACUUUCACAUUGUAACUCUAUAUUGAGGCGUGACACGCACUCCAUGGUGAGUGCGAGGUCGGAUACUAUUGGGGAUUGUGACUUGGUCCAUCCCGUGUGAUGUUUAUACUAUACUGGUGGUUGAUACACAUACUUCAUUGAUAUUACUGGGCUUGAUGCCAUGUUUGGGGCCUUGUGCCGAUUUGUAAAAUCCUUCGAGGAUUGAUAUUACUGCUUAGCAUGAUUUGCAUAUCAUUUAAUUUCAGUCCAAGGUUUUAAAUGUUGUUUUGCAAACUCAUCCAUAAUUCUAAGUGUUGAAAACUUAAAUGAUAUUUUUAAAUGUAUUCCGGGCUGUGAACUUCUGUUUUGUAAAUGCCCAAGGGGCUUAUUAUAUUAUUUUCUGGACUGAUUAUAAAGUGACUUGAAACAGUGGUAACAAUGACACUGUGUGAUAUACUUGAAACAGUGGUAACAAUGACACUGUGUGAUAUACUUGAAAUAGUGGUAACAAUGACACUGAAUGAUAUACUUGAACAGUGGUAACAAUGGCACUGUAUGAUAUAAAUUGGUCAGGUAACAAUGACUGGCCAAGAUAUUGCGCUUGGGCUGUAGGAGCCCCUCCGGAGUCUAUACACACCCCCAGUGAGCGCCGUCGACGAUAAAUAAAUAUGGAUGGCUCGGGCUGCACGCCACAGUGGGUACUAGAAUGUACCAUCAUAUGCAUUGUAUGGCAUUCAUGUAUUUGUAUUUAUACUGGUGUUUAGCUGCUCAGUUCCAUAUGUUGUUGUAUAUUCGGUUUGUAGCUUACUUUGUGUAUUUACUGGAUUUUCUUAUCUUUGGACUGUAGUUACUUUUAUUACUCACUGGGUUGGAGUACUCACUUUACUCCCUGCACCUUGUAUGCAGAUCCAGGGCAGUCUCAGGCUCAGUAGAUCCAGUUGAUCAGCAAAUCCAGCCUCUGGGAGUAUCGAGGUAGUUGCACGGCGUUUGCAGCCAUUGAUCUUCUCCCUCCUAUCAUAUCUCUUUAUUUCUGCAUUAUCGGACAUUGGAUAUACCGUGUAUUAGGAUGAUAUUCUGUAUUCUAGAGGCUCAGACUCGUGACACCGGGUCCUAGUGAGAUUAUAUUGUGUAUUUUGUUAAAAUCUUCAGUACUUUAAUCUUGCUUAAUCUUGAAUAAUGGUCGGGCUUGCCUAGUGGUGUGCUGGGCACCAUCACGACCGGGAUUUAGG